rnacentral:rRNA from 1 species
CUGGCUCAGACUGAACGCUGGCGGCAGGCCUAACACAUGCAAGUCGAACGGUAACAGGAAGAAGCUUGCUCUUGCUGACGAGUGGCGGACGGGUGAGUAAUGUCUGGGAAACUGCCUGAUGGAGGGGGAUAACUACUGGAAACGGUAGCUAAUACCGCAUAACGUCGCAAGACCAAAGAGGGGGACCUUCGGGCCUCUUGCCAUCGGAUGUGCCCAGAUGGGAUUAGCUAGUAGGUGGGGUAACGGCUCACCUAGGCGACGAUCCCUAGCUGGUCUGAGAGGAUGGCCAGCCACACUGGAACUGAGACACGGUCCAGACUCCUACGGGAGGCAGCAGUGGGGAAUAUUGCACAAUGGGCGCAAGCCUGAUGCAGCCAUGCCGCGUUGUAUGAAGAAGGCCUUCGGGUUGUAAAGUACUUUCAGCGGGGAGGAAGGGAGUAAAGUUAAUACCUUUGCUCAUUGACGUUACCCGCAGAAGAAGCACCGGCUAACUCCGUGCCAGCCGCAGC